ensembl:lncRNA
AUGGCGCGUGCAGAAUUUGUGAAAGCGAAAAAGAAGACGAAGGAGAAGCAAAGAGGACGGAAUACUGCGGUGCUAGGGUGCAGCUGGAGUCCAGAAAUGAUUUUUUUCGGUGAAUUUAGGAUUUUGCCGCAGUAUACAUCUGCAGUCCCAGAAUCCUCCGGUAAUUCAAAAGCAUCUGUUUUAGGGAAGGGAUGCCUUACAUUCAAGUUCUGUCUUCUACUGCUUGAUAUGCCAGUGGCCUGAUAGCAUGACAAGAAAUAUCUUCUCUCUUAAACUAGCUGGAGACGCUUGGUUUCUAAGAACACAGCUUAAAAAUUAGAACCACUUGCCUGUCGCCAUUUCAUAAAAUUAAUUUAUGUCAAACCCAGGAUGACUGGUUCUAGAAGGAAAAGGCUUUUAGAUAACCAACUGUUUUUAUGAAAUGUAUUGUCCAAGGUCAAUUUUUAAAAAAUUAUUUAACAAAAUUUCUUACUUCACCAAACUCAGGUAUUUUGAUGUUGUAUUUUGCUUUGGUUUAAUGAUAGUAUUUGUCUUCAUUCCAUAGAAGUUAUUCAGCUCAUAUUUUUGGUGAGACAACUGGAACAAUUUCUGCCUUAUGAAACAUGCAAAUAAAAAUUAGGAGCAAUGCUAAGUUUAACUAACUUGCUUUAAUGCUAGUCAACCCGUAAUUCUUCAGUGAACUUAUUAUGAUGGGAAAAACAGCAUGUUGCAUUGUUGCAAAUUUUACCUUUUUUUUUUUUAAUAACAUGUAUUUGUUUAUGGUGUCAAUACGGAUUAAAAAUCUGAAUUCUAAAUUUGAAGUAUUUAAACUAUAGAAAAAUGAUUCCAUUAUUUUGGUAAUGGAACACAGAAACAGAAAUAUAGAAAUGUUUUUUUACUUUAGAUCUUCCAAUGGUGCAGAUAUUUCUUAGCCAAUUUCAAGAGUGCCUUAUUCAACAACAAAAAAACUGCAUAUAGGAAAACAACAUUAAAAAAAAAACCCUUCAAAAGUGGUGAAUCUGUCGUCUGAUUUUGAAUGUAUGACUUUAAUCAAAUCAAUUGCAUAUUCCUUAACUCUGCAAAUGACAAUUAAAAUUAGGACUCAGUACCUGAAAACGCCAUUUAUACUUGUGAGUUUGUAUUAGAAACAUGGCUUUAAUGAAAUACCUUUUUCGGUUCAAUCUUUGAAUUGUGAGUACAACCAAUAGCUAUACUUAAUUCUACAGAAUUACUAAGGAAAGAUACUAAUGAGAAGGUCUUUCUAGACAAUGGAUCUCACGGAACGUCAUCUUAGUGUGUGGACUUUUUCCACUGCAGUGGCCCACAUGUGCUAUGGUGACAGACGGCAGUUGGCAUUACCAUUUAUAUAGUAAAAUAUCUUUAAGACAAAAAUAAAAGUUAUUUCAAGAAUAUGCUGUCCCUGAAACAUGAGCUAUGCCUUAAACUACAUAUCCUACCUCCAUGAGUGAAUACGUAAGUGGGUUUCCUGCCAGCAUGUAUGUGUAAAGACCUAUUGUUUGCAUGUAUUAAUUGCGGUCCUGGGAUAAAAGCACAGACGUAACUUUCACUGCUGCUUUUUGUACUCUCUCCAAUGUUUUGGAGGAAAAAUAAGCACAAACAAUAGAAUAGAGAAAGUGAAGCGAUCGUAAUUGUUGCAGCUUUGACAAACGCCAAUUUUGCUGCAUUACAAUGGGAAACAUUUUUCAGCCUAUCAAAAUUAAUUAAAAAACGUUUUUAAAGUCAGUUAAAAAUAUUAGAGGCUGUCUAAUCGAUCGCUUUUUCUAUAAACAUACUUUGGUUUCUCAAGUAAUACCGUAAAAACCUUCUUCUCCAAAGAAAAAAUCCCCACAAAUAAAUCUAUUGAUACCUAGUGACAAGUGGAACCAGAUAAAAAUGGA